AGUCUGGGCUUAUCGCAAAUCGGUCUGGCCGAUAUCGGCCGUAAAUAAGCAAUGUAACUGAUACCACAACGCCUCCUCCUCCAUGGCCCCCUCCAUGAUUGGUGCUGAACUUUGGAUUCGGGCGCUAUCUUUCCCGUCGGUUGCAUUACAAGCACUCGGAAUCUUGAAAUCACUUCAAACCCGUUAACUGAACUGAUUCCCUGGUCAGAUAACGAUAUUAUUGUGUUCGGUUCGAUUCAUAUACGAGGUUAGAUGAUGAAACCGGUGAGCCGUAGCCCUGCUCUGAAGAGGACCUCUCCAGAAGCCGAAGGUCCCUUACGUGGAGCCCUUUGCGUGUUACGAAAUAGAGCCCUCUAUAUUACUCAGAUCCAAGAUUAACAGCUGGCUGCACGUAGACAAUAAUCAGAUCUUAUUGUUUUAUGGAGCCAGCAGGCCCCGGCAUGGCGUACAUGCAUCGCCUAUACAUAUAUAAUUAUAUAGACACAUGUGAGGCGUUAUCGGCUGAACAAGUGUUCGGGCCUAGGACUGCACUCUGUUUUCAACUUGUACCAUUUUCGGUCCUCCGGCCAGCCUCUUGGACCCGUAGCUCCAAGAGGCCUAGCCAAAGUCUAUAUAUAGAAGGAGGAAACCUUCAGGUAACGACGACAUAUAGACGGACUUUGAAGCGGCAUGAGUGAGUGAAUGUUCUCCUACAUAUAUGUACAUACAUAUGUGCGAAUGAAUCGCCGACCGCCGCUGGAUUCCAUUAGGUUUUUAUUUUUGUUUUUAAUUUUUGCGGACGGAUUCUACCGAGCUGAUAAGGGGUUUGAAUACUUUUUUAAUUGUCGCCGGUUAUCGUUAUGAGUGGUCCAAGUCGAGAAGAGGUGAUUAUGGAACUGCCUUUGCAUUCCCAGGGAGUUCUACUCCUACUCCCUCAAUGCCCACUCCAUGGGUCUUCUAUAUAACAAAAAUAUGUAUAUCGGGCUACUGGGGCAUGUCUGCCGGACUGGGAGUACGUGUAUGGAAGCAGAUUCGUCAUAUGGCAGAAGCCCACCGCAGUCUAGAAAGAACAAGAACCGAGGGACCCAGCAAAAACGAUGGACUUUGGACGUACUACGUGAUGACGAUGACGGCGGCGGUGGCGGUGGCAGCGAAAAUGCGACGUCGACGUUGGAGCGUGUAUUUAAUUAAAAAACGAAAAAAAAAAAAGAGCACAAACAAAAUAAAAAACAGCGCAGAACGAACCAGAAUCAAAUGGAACUCUUUGGCUAAUUUUAGACGGGGGCCAAAGACUACCCGUUCUGGCGGAUACGUCACUGCGAGGUAGAUAAAUGGGUGCUCCUAUCAGUACACUUGUAAAAAUUCUGCACACAAACGCCAGGAGAUAAGCCAGCCCCUUCCAGUGCUCCAGAUCUGGGAUCUCGGCUCUGAUCAGACUUUGAAUGGAGCUCCAUUGAGGGGGCAGACAUCUAAUCAGACGCGCGAAUCGCCUCGUUUUUCAAUUUCAGUCUCAAUUUUCGCCUGUCUGGACGUCGGCUGACACCCAAAGACUAUACAAACAAACGCACAUGGGUCUGCGGUUUCUGUGCCCGGUCUUCUGGUGAUACUGCCCCAUGUAUCAUAUAGUAGUUGCCCCACUCACUGGGUGCGUGAAGAGCUCCCCGACAGCCCCGUACUCCUGUUCCACAUCC